AGGAGCUCGGGUGGGAUUUCAUCAGGUGCCUGACCAGCAGGGCCCCGUGAGCGCAGGGUUUGCAGACCUGUUCGUCGUGUUGGCCCACGGCACAAAAGCGUUCCCGAAACACUUCAAGCUCUGGAGAUCCAUGGAGGGAAGAUGCCUCUUGAAGAGGGACCAAGCCUUUGCUUGUGCCAGCUGGAGGGCUUUUUGCAUCUUUCCACGAGUUGAAAAAUCUCUGAGAGACCAGAAUCCUGCAUGUUUGCAAAUACUGCUUUCCAUCUGAGAGCUGCCCUCCAGAAACACCAUGGAAAAAGCCCCAGAAACCACUCAGCCUGUUA